rnacentral:rRNA from 1 species
AGUGAACGCUGGCGGCAGGCCUAACACAUGCAAGUCGAGCGGCAGCGGGUCCUUCGGGAUGUCGGCGAGCGGCGGACGAGUGAGGAAUACAUCGGAAUCUGCCCUGUCGUGGGGGAUAACCUAGGGAGACUUAGGCUAAUACCGCGUACGAUAUGCUUUCGGCAUCGAGAGUAUAUGAAAGGUGGCCUCUAUAUAUAAGCUAUCGCUGAAGGAGGGGAUUGCGUCUGAUUAGCUAGUUGGAGGGGUAACGGCCCACCAAGGCGAUGAUCAGUAGCCGGUCUGAGAGGAUGAACGGCCACAUUGGGACUGAGACACGGCCCAA